rnacentral:rRNA from 1 species
UACGGGGGGGGCAAGCGUUGUUCGGAAUUACUGGGCGUAAAGGGCUCGUAGGCGGCCAACUAAGUCAGACGUGAAAUCCCUCGGCUUAACCGGGGAACUGCGUCUGAUACUGGAUGGCUUGAGUGUGGGAGAGGAAUGCGGAAUUCCAGGUGUAGCGGUGAAAUGCGUAGAUAUCUGGAGGAACACCGGUGGCGAAGGCGGCAUUCUGGACCAUUACUGACGCUGAGGAGCGAAAGCCAGGGGAGCAAACGGG